GUGUAAUUCAUAAAGUCAAAAUGGCUCAGAAUGUAAAAACUGGAUGGUCACAGCCCGCAAAUCCCAGUGAUGAUUUAAUCUGAUCAUAUCUAAACAAAAAGAGCUCUCAGCCAUGCUUGUAGCUGUUUCCAUUGCUCAACAGACAUUCUAGGCUUCACAGUGACACACAGACAGAUUGACAAUCCUGGAAUCUUAUUAUAUAGAUUCUACAGUAUUUCUAUCUAUCAAACAGAAAAUAAUGGAAGUGAAGAAUAAAAAGGCAACCAGACUACAUGACCCGCCCAUCUCCGCUUUGCGUCGUACAUCGCCUGCACUACAUCGGUCACCUCUGUACACCUGAUCUCCUCAUUCGGCCCACUGACUCAGUCACUCUUCUUUUUGUGGAUGAACCUGCAUCUUUUCUUGACUGGAAGAUAGGAGAGCUCAAGAGGAUGACUAGAGACGGUGUUAAAAUAGAACUGCAGUUCUAUUUUGCUGCUCCCAAGAAGACUCAGGUUUCCUUGUGGUUUGUUUUCCGCUCUGCAAUUUGUUGCUGCUUCACAUCCAAUUCUGCACCCAACUGCAAAUAGGCUGAGCAGACAAGGCUCUGUCUCUGCACUCAGCAUGUAGGUGGUACAUGUACAUACCAGAAGAGAGUGACUCCAAGAGAUGAUGUCCCUUGUUUUCUCAUCCAGACUACAGGCACAUACUCCAGACGUACCUGUACCGGUGUUUUUAGGACUGGAGACACAAUUUCCAGAAUAUGAACACAGAAAUGAACCACUCCUCUGAAAGCUUCCAUUCCCUCUAUUGUCACUGAUAGCGACAACAUGCAUCAGAGAUGCAAAAAUCUCUCCCUCAGCUCAGAAUAAAUGUCAUGUCUACAGUCCUGGUUGGAUGAAUAAAGCAUUGCUCUUUAUGGUACAUUUCCAAUAAUGAACAUCCUUUAAUGUGAACUAGUCCACUACAUACAAUCUGUGCAAUAGCUUUGAAAUACAUUAGAUAGUAGGAUGUAAAGAUAUAGUUCUACCUUGUUUUUUGGGCAAGCGGAGCAAGGUGGUACACUGAACUGAGUGGCAUUUCUCUGUCUGUCCUGGAAAUUUUCUAGGCAUCAAUAGCCAACACCCAAUUGCUUUUUGUGAAAAUUCACACCUGGAAGGGGAAAAUGGGGGACAGCAGGAGUUCCUUGUAUCAGGUUAGCCAUGAACACAUUCUAGCAUAACA